GCCAUCUAGAACCUAUUCUUUCUAUAUCCAGUGCUUAAAUUAUUCUUCUCAUGCAUUGGUACAUUUAACGCUGGGCCAUCAAGCAGCCAACCAAACAUGAGAUAUGCUACUGAAAUGGGGUUGGACUAAACUGAAAAUAAAUCAUACACAACAAUCUUAUACAGCAACUUAUACCAAGGCUGCCAUGUUCAUCCUACAUUAGAUAUUCAAAUCACACAGCUAAAGUUCUGAGCAAAUCUACUACUGCAACGGGUUGUUAGAAGAUAGCACGACAGGAGAUUAAACAGAGACGAAGGAAAACCAAGAACAUCGUAUCUUCUCGGCCUUUCCCAGGAAGAAUGGCACAGAGCACACAUUCAUUCUCCAAUGAGUACUUGUCUUUCUAGUCUUCACCAUCUACCGCUUUCCUCUCCUUGUAUUCACACCCGUUAAUCAGAUUCCAACCACUAACCAUUUACUACAAGCCCCUACUAACAGUAGAUUAGCCUUCUUCAUCAUAA
rnacentral:misc_RNA from 1 species